UAGACAUCGAAGUCUCCGUCGCAGGUGAGGAUUCUAUCGAAGACUCCGUUGCCGGACAUCAAAGAAUCUACGACCAUCAUGGUGGAAACAACAGACGAUGUCUUCUAGCCGCUUCUUCUUUCUAAACUUUAAAUAACGGACGACGGACUGGCGGAGGCGGUGACAAAGGCCUUUGGGCAGACUGGCGGAGGACUGAUAUGUGGCGUAUUGGUGGAGCAGAAGCAAAGGCGGAGGACUGACGUAUGGCGUACUGGCGUCUCGCACUUGCGUUUGAAAACUCCGGUGAGAAAAUCAACCGGCUAGGCAGAACGAAGCAGAGAAAAAAUUGCACACUAGUGCCUAUGCCGCCUAGGCGCCCGGUCGCCGAGGAGGCCGAUUUCAGCAUUCCUCGACUGCCUAGCGCCUAUGCGCGAUUUUUGCAACUUUGGUUGUAGGUAUUCUUUCAAUAAAUCAUCCAUAAUAGUGCUAAAAUCAAGUUCUACUACAUCAUGUCAAGCUAAGAUGAUGUUCGUGUUUAUUUGUAUAAGAAGGGUUUUGAACCAAAUUAUUGGAUUUGGACAUGUCACGGCGAGCUUGCUCCCUCAAUACAACCACAUAUGGAUGAGGGCCUUAGUGAAAACAAUCGGUAUGAACAAAUGGUUUUUGAUGUAUCUGGUGCAUCAUUUGUUCCAUUAAAUGUAAAAACUGACCAAGACGAAGAACCACAUAGUAGUGCAAGAAACUUUUACGAUUUGUUAAAUGUUGCAAGACAUUGAUGAUGAUGAAUAUCAAGACAACUUUUAAUAUUCCAAAGAAAGCAAUGGAUCAGAUAUUUCAAAUAAUAACCGUAUGAUGGUUCCCGAUAAUCAAGUACCUACUAGGUAUUAUGAUGCAAAAAAAUUACUUACGAAGCUUAGUCUUGGACAUGAGAAGAUUGAUUGUUUUGUAAACAAUUGUAUGUUGUACUAUAAGUCUGAAAUCAAUGAUAGACACUGUAAGUAUUGUGGUGAGCCAA